GAUGAACGCUGGCGGCGUGCCUAAUACAUGCAAGUCGAGCGAACAGACGAGGAGCUUGCUCCUCUGACGUUAGCGGCGGACGGGUGAGUAACACGUGGAUAACCUACCUAUAAGACUGGGAUAACUUCGGGAAACCGGAGCUAAUACCGGAUAAUAUAUUGAACCGCAUGGUUCAAUAGUGAAAGACGGUUUUGCUGUCACUUAUAGAUGGAUCCGCGCCGCAUUAGCUAGUUGGUAAGGUAACGGCUUACCAAGGCAACGAUGCGUAGCCGACCUGAGAGGGGGAUCGGCCACACUGGAAGUGAGACACGGUCCAGACUCCUACGGCAGGCAGCAGUAGGGAAUCGGCCGCAAUGGGCGAAAGCCUGACGGAGCAACGCCGCGUGAGUGAUGAAGGUCUUCGGAUCGUAAAACUCUGUUAUUAGGGAAGAACAAAUGUGUAAGUAACUAUGCACGUCUUGACGGUACCGAAUCAGAAAGCCACGGCUAACUACGUG
rnacentral:rRNA from 1 species